rnacentral:rRNA from 1 species
UACGUAGGGUGCGAGCGUUGUCCGGAAUUAUUGGGCGUAAAGAGCUCGUAGGCGGUCUGUCGCGUCGAAUGUGAAAACCCGGGGCUCAACUCCGGGCUUGCAUUCGAUACGGGCAGGCUAGAGUUCGGUAGGGGAGUCUGGAAUUCCUGGUGUAGCGGUGAAAUGCGCAGAUAUCAGGAAGAACACCCGUGGCUAAGGCGGCUCUCUAGUACGGUACUGACGCUGAGACGCGAAAGCGUGGGGAGCGAACAGG